rnacentral:rRNA from 1 species
UACGUAGGGUGCGAGCGUUAAUCGGAAUUACUGGGCGUAAAGCGUGCGCAGGCGGUUGUGCAAGACAGGUGUGAAAUCCCCGGGCUUAACCUGGGAACUGCACUUGUGACUGCACGACUUGAGUACGGCAGAGGGGGAUGGAAUUCCGCGGUGUAGCAGUGAAUGCGUAGAUAAUGCGGAGGAACACCGAUGGCGAAGGCAGUCCCGUGGGCCUGUACUGACGCUCCAGCGCACGAAA